GGACGGGUGAGUAAUGCCUAGGAAUCUGCCUGGUAGUGGGGGACAACGUUUUCGAAAGGAACGCUAAUACCGCAUACGUCCUACGGGAGAAAGCAGGGGACCUUCGGGCCUUGCGCUAUCAGAUGAGCCUAGGUCGGAUUAGCUAGUUGGUGAGGUAAUGGCUCACCAAGGCGACGAUCCGUAACUGGUCUGAGAGGAUGAUCAGUCACACUGGAACUGAGACACGGUCCAGACUCCUACGGGAGGCAGCAGUGGGGAAUAUUGGACAAUGGGCGAAAGCCUGAUCCAGCCAUGCCGCGUGUGUGAAGAAGGUCUUCGGAUUGUAAAGCACUUUAAGUUGGGAGGAAGGGUUGUAGAUUAAUACUCUGCAAUUUUGACGUUACCGACAGAAUAAGCACCGGCUAACUCUGUGCCAGCAGCCGCGGUAAUACAGAGGGUGCAAGCGUUAAUCGGAAUUACUGGGCGUAAAGCGCGCGUAGGUGGUUUGUUAAGUUGGAUGUGAAAGCCCCGGGCUCAACCUGGGAACUGCAUUCAAAACUGACAAGCUAGAGUAUGGUAGAGGGUGGUGGAAUUUCCUGUGUAGCGGUGAAAUGCGUAGAUAUAGGAAGGAACACCAGUGGCGAAGGCGACCCCUGGACUGAUACUGACACUGAGGUGCGAAAGCGUGGGAGCAAACAGGAUUAGAUACCCUGGUAGUCCACGCCGUAAACGAUGUCAACUAGCCGUUGGGAGCCUUGAGCUCUUAGUGGCGCAGCUAACGCAUUAAGUUGACCGCCUGGGGAGUACGGCCGCAAGGUUAAAACUCAAAUGAAUUGACGGGGGCCCGCACAAGCGGUGGAGCAUGUGGUUUAAUUCGAAGCAACGCGAAGAACCUUACCAGGCCUUGACAUCCAAUGAACUUUCCAGAGAUGGAUUGGUGCCUUCGGGAACAUUGAGACAGGUGCUGCAUGGCUGUCGUCAGCUCGUGUCGUGAGAUGUUGGGUUAAGUCCCGUAACGAGCGCAACCCUUGUCCUUAGUUACCAGCACGUAAUGGUGGGCACUCUAAGGAGACUGCCGGUGACAAACCGGAGGAAGGUGGGGAUGACGUCAAGUCAUCAUGGCCCUUACGGCCUGGGCUACACACGUGCUACAAUGGUCGGUACAGAGGGUUGCCAAGCCGCGAGGUGGAGCUAAUCCCAUAAAACCGAUCGUAGUCCGGAUCGCAGUCUGCAACUCGACUGCGUGAAGUCGGAAUCGCUAGUAAUCGCGAAUCAGAAUGUCGCGGUGAAUACGUUCCCGGGCCUUGUACACACCGCCCGUCACACCAUGGGAGUGGGUUGCACCAGAAGUAGCUAGUCUAACCUUCGGGGGGACGGUUACCACGGUGUGAUUCAUGACUGGGGGAAGUCUACCAG
rnacentral:rRNA from 1 species